UACGUAGGGGGCAAGCGUUGUCCGGAGUCAUUGGGCGUAAAGCGCGUGUAGGCGGCUCGGUAAGUCUGCUGUGAAAGUCCAGGGCUCAACCCUGGGAUGCCGGUGGAUACUGUCGAGCUCGAGUCCGGAAGAGGCGAGUGGAAUUCCUGGUGUAGAGGUGAAAUUCGUAGAUAUCAGGAGGAACACCAGUGGCGAAGGCGGCUUUCUGGACGGUAACUGACGCUGAGACGCGAAAGCGUGGGGAGCAAACAGG
rnacentral:rRNA from 1 species